GCCUAAUACAUGCAAGUCGAACGCUUUUUCUUUCACCGGAGCUUGCUCCACCGAAAGAAAAAGAGUGGCGAACGGGUGAGUAACACGUGGGUAACCUGCCCAUCAGAAGGGGAUAACACUUGGAAACAGGUGCUAAUACCGUAUAACACUAUUUUCCGCAUGGAAGAAAGUUGAAAGGCGCUUUUGCGUCACUGAUGGAUGGACCCGCGGUGCAUUAGCUAGUUGGUGAGGUAACGGCUCACCAAGGCAACGAUGCAUAGCCGACCUGAGAGGGUGAUCGGCCACACUGGGACUGAGACACGGCCCAGACUCCUACGGGAGGCAGCAGUAGGGAAUCUUCGGCAAUGGACGAAAGUCUGACCGAGCAACGCCGCGUGAGUGAAGAAGGUUUUCGGAUCGUAAAACUCUGUUGUUAGAGAAGAACAAGGAUGAGAGUAAAAUGUUCAUCCCUUGACGGUAUCUAACCAGAAAGCCACGGCUAACUACGUGCCAGCAGCCGCGGUAAUACGUAGGUGGCAAGCGUUGUCCGGAUUUAUUGGGCGUAAAGCGAGCGCAGGCGGUUUCUUAAGUCUGAUGUGAAAGCCCCCGGCUCAACCGGGGAGGGUCAUUGGAAACUGGGAGACUUGAGUGCAGAAGAGGAGAGUGGAAUUCCAUGUGUAGCGGUGAAAUGCGUAGAUAUAUGGAGGAACACCAGUGGCGAAGGCGGCUCUCUGGUCUGUAACUGACGCUGAGGCUCGAAAGCGUGGGGAGCGAACAGGAUUAGAUACCCUGGUAGUCCACGCCGUAAACGAUGAGUGCUAAGUGUUGGAGGGUUUCCGCCCUUCAGUGCUGCAGCAAACGCAUAAGCACUCCG
rnacentral:rRNA from 1 species